rnacentral:rRNA from 1 species
GUGGGGAAUAUUGCGCAAUGGGGGAAACCCUGACGCAGCAACGCCGCGUGAAGGAUGAAGGUUUUCGGAUUGUAAACUUCUUUGAUUGGGGACGAAUAAAUGACGGUACCCAAAAAACAAGCCACGGCUAACUACGUGCCAGCAGCCGCGGUAAUACGUAGGUGGCGAGCGUUGUCCGGAAUUACUGGGUGUAAAGGGCGUGUAGGCGGGAAUGUAAGUCAGAUGUGAAAUUCCGAGGCUCAACCUCGGCGCUGCAUCUGAAACUAUAUUUCUUGAGUGCUGGAGAGGAAAGCGGAAUUCCUAGUGUAGCGGUGAAAUGCGUAGAUAUUAGGAGGAACACCAGUGGCGAAGGCGGCUUUCUGGACAGUAACUGACGCUGAGGCGCGAAAGCGUGGGGAGCAAACAGGAUUAGAAACCCGAGUAGUCC